AGAAAGCAAUCUCGUGAAUUUGAGUUUUUGGAAAAAAUGUUAAUUUGUAUAUCAAAAAAUUUAUGAAAUUAAAAGUUACUUUUAUUUUAAAAAUCUUUGAUUUAGAAUUACUAAGUGGAGUAUAGUAAUAGUAUAUUGCAUCUUUAAUAUUCUCAUCGUUCGUUCCACACGAUAGAAAAUACAUCUAUCCUUUCCUUUCUCCCUGUGUAUUAAUGUUGUGGCAGGCACAGGCACAGGCACAGGCAGAGGCAGCA
rnacentral:lncRNA from 1 species